AAGACUAUAGACCUGCGGAGUACCUGCGGAAGGAUCAUUAUUGAAUUAUGUUUCUAAAUGGGUUGUAGCUGGCUCGUCAGAGCAUGUGCACGCCUGUUUGGACUUCAUUUUCAUCCACCUGUGCACCUAUUGUAGUCUUUGGUUGGGUAUCAAGGAAGUGGUCAGCCUAUCAGCACUUGCUGGACGUGAGGACUUGCAGUGUGAAAGCUUUGCUGUCCUUUACUUGAUCAUGGAGUUGUU
rnacentral:misc_RNA from 1 species